GUUAAGUCAGUGGCGGGCGCCGCGGUAAGGCGUGGGGGGUGGUCGUGGUCCGGAAUGAGUGGGGUUAAAGAGCGUGUAGGCGGUUGUGUCCGUCUGCUGUUAAAAGCCGGGGCUCCACCCCGGGCUGGCAGUGGGUACGGGCAGACUAGAGUAUGGUAGGGGAGACUGGAAUUCCGGGUGUAGCGGUGAAAUGCGCAGAUAUCAGGAGGAACACCGAUGGCGAAGGCAGGUCUCUGGGCCACUACUGACGCUGAGAAGCGAAAGCAUGGGGAGCGAACAGGAUUAGAUACCCUGGUAGUC
rnacentral:rRNA from 1 species